rnacentral:rRNA from 1 species
GACGAACCGUGCAAACGUUGUUCGGAAUCACUGGGCUUAAAGGGCGCGUAGGCGGCCCGCUAAGUCGAACGUGAAAUCCCCGAGCUCAACUCGGGAACUGCGUCCGAUACUGGUGGGCUUGAAUCCGGGAGAGGGAUGCGGAAUUCCAGGUGUAGCGGUGAAAUGCGUAGAUAUCUGGAGGAACACCGGUGGCGAAGGCGGCAUCCUGGACCGGCAUUGACGCUGAGGCGCGAAAGCCAGGGGAGCAAAGCGGG